GUCAUCAACCCGGCACUUGCCAACAUGGAAGGUGGAGACAGCACAAUUUCCGUAGCAGGCCGUGGGGCUUCGGGUUCCGCAGUAGUGGCGGCGACCGUGCAGGCGAUCCUGCAGGACGGUAAGGCGUCGGACGGUGGCCCGGCCUGGGUCGCCCUGCCUUGCGCAGAGUCCGAGAAUCCUACCGGUCACUUUGCACAAAGUUUUCCUGUCUGGACUUGGCCACUCCCCUCCGCCCGGCCCCCUGGCGUCCGGGAUUGUCCUGGUCCCCCAGUUUCACGGGGAACGUGUUCCUCUCUUCCCGUGGGUGUCUUGGGGAAAACACCUGGUGUCUAGUUGCUGGGGUUUGCACUGGAUCAUGAUGCGCCCGGGACAUCGCUGUAGUUCCUGCACGACGUGGUCGGGGCUGAUAGCCGCUACUGCUGCUCAGUUCCUGACCAAGGAUUGCACUGUCCGUGCCCAGAAGUGUGAACUCACCCUAGGUGACAGACCGCUCGCUGCUUAAGGAAAGGGAUGGAGGAUGCAAAAUGUGGAGUUGGAAAUUUCCGUGUUCAGUUCUUGGGCUAUGCAGGUGCCUCUGUUAUCCAUACAUGUCGAGUACUGAAGUCAGGAUUACUGGUAGUUUGAAGAGAAAUUAUCCCAAGUAAAUUAACUAUAUACCUUUCUAUAGUAUAGUACGCUUGAAAGUCAAGUUCGGUUGUAUUAAUGCUCAAUCUGAGAGACAGAACAAAAUUCAGUUUGCUAAAGGUAUUAGGCCUUAAUCAUCCCAUCUUUUCUCUAGUUGACACUAAGUUCUUUCAUCUAUUAAAAGCGUUUGCAUUUAUCACCUUAAUUGCUUCCGAGGCCCUUGCGCCUCCUCCUCCCCAAUCCCCUUCCCCCUUGUUUUUGAGACAGGGUUACUCUAUGAAACCCUGACUGUUUUGGAACUCCCUGUAGAUCAGUCAGUCUAGCCUUGAACUCACAGAGAUACACCUGCUUCUGUCUACCACCUGCUGGGAUCAAAGGCUACCAAGCCAAGCAUAGGAACCUCUUUUUAUAUUCCACAGAGUUAAAAGCAGUAUUCUGCAUACAGUAGGAACAGAUUUUUUUUUUUAAUUUUCCACAUAAGAGUGGCUUAAAGGAUCAAACUGAAAUUUAAAUUAUGGUGUUUUCCCUGAUUGUUGAAUAUUUUAUAUCUUUUUAAUAGAUAUUUUAUAUCUUGUCAAGACUAGUGAUGUUUUUCAGAGUUAGGUUGUGGUAUAUUCUUAGAGUUUCUGCCUGAUGCACCUCAUCUUUGUGUCUUAAUUGAAAUUUAAAUUUAACCAAGUUUCAAAAUCCUGAAACGAGUGUGUGUGUGUGUGUGUGUUUAAUAGCUGUCCAGCCUUUGAGCUUAAACUGAACUUAAAACUAUGCUUGCUUUUUUCCUUCUGUGGUUUCAAAUACAAUUAAGUAAAGUCUCAGCAAUUAAAUAAAGCCCUUUGUUUUAAGGACAUUCCCUUCCUUUGUGCUGUGGAGUUUAUUCCUGUCUAGAAUCCAAACACUCCCAUUCUAUAAUGUUAAAAUCACUUUGCAGAGGUCCUCAUUGGUUCCUUGGAAGUAAGUCAGAUGGGCACUUCUGCUUCUUAUCCUAUUUAAACUUGUAAAAGCUUGGCUCUUUCCUUGAAGUAAUUUGUUAUAUGAUAUAAGGAUCCCACACUAUUUGUUUAUUUUUCAAGACAGGGUUUCUCUGUUGUAGCUCUGGCUGUCCUGGAAUUUAAUUCGUAGACUAGGCUGGUCUAGAACUCAGAGAUUCACCUGCCUCUGCCUUCCAAGUGCUGGGAUUCAGGACCUGUGCCACCACUGCCCUUGUAUAUAUGUAUGUAUGUAUGUAUGUAUGUAUGUAUGUAUGUAUAUAUGUAUUUAUUUAAUUUCCUAAAUUCCUUUCCAGUUUCCCCAAAUGUACCUGAAAAUUUGAUCAUUUUGUUCAGUAACCAAUUCACUGUCUUUAGAAUUUGCCUAAAGAUAGGGUUGAUAGGCUCAGUGAACAGGUGCAGAGUUGGAAAAUUUGUGAGCAGCUUCUGAUUUUUCACUGAUAAGAAUACCACAAAAGAGAUAACUUAUGUGAUUUAUUCUGGAAUAUCAACCACUGAAUAAUCUGCUAGCUGUGUUCAUCUUUUACUGUCGCGUCUAUGGGAGAUUGUACUCACCAUUUCCUUUACACAGUUAGCUCUUUUGAUUUAGUCAUUCUUUCCAGUUUCUUUUUCUCUAAGCAUUCUUCAGGAGUUUCUUUACCCAACUCCCCAGGUUCUGGUGUCUUCCUGGGUUCUCAGACCUAUGUUGUCCACUUUCUAAGUCAUAUAAUCACUGUGUUGGUCAUUGACACACAGUAGAGUAAGCUGGGAUGUGAGAACCUCAUGAGGAAUCGCUUCCAUCUUACUGGCCUAUCUACACAUGGGACAUUUUCUUUAUUUUUUUCUUAUAACUUUUUUUAUUCUUUCUGAAUUUCACAUCAUGUACCCCAAUCCCAAUCAUUUCCAUGUUUCUUUGUAUCUGCCUUUCACCCUUAUAGUCUCCUCUCUAAGG
rnacentral:lncRNA from 1 species